UCCCGUGUGGUCUAGUGGUUAGGAUGUCUGGUUUAAAACCCAGAAGAUCACGAGUUCGAUCCUCGUCCCGGGAG
rnacentral:tRNA from 1 species